rnacentral:lncRNA from 1 species
UCAAUUUAGGAAAAAAUUUGGAAAAAACUCCCUUAUGGUUUCACUAUAGUUUAAAAUGUAUUAAGUUAGUACCCUGUGGUUUAGCAUUUUCUCACUUUAGUACCCUGUGGUUUAAAGUGUAUCAAAUUAGUAUCUGUGGUUUCGCACUUUCUCACUUUAGUACCCUGUGGUUUAAUAUUUCAUUAAGAGAAAAAUAAAAUCACAGAGUACUAACUUGAUAUAAAAAUAAAAACACAGGGUACUAACUUUGUACAAAAAUAAAACCAUAGAGUACUAACUUGGUACACUUUAAACCACUGGAUACUAAAAUAAAAAAGUACAAAACCACAGGAUAUUAACUUGAUAUAGUUUAAACUACAGGAUACUAAAAUAAAAAAGUGCGAUAUCACAGAGAGGGUUUUUGAAGUUUUCCCAAAAUAUUUUUCAAUACCCUUCCAAGUAGGUCCAAUUUUAUGAAUACCCUUUACAAUUUUAAAAUUUUAUAUUUGUCCUUCAAAAGUAUGAAAAGUUUCAAAAAUACCCUCUCCCGUAGCAAUCCGUCGUGUUAGCUUCAAAAUACCAAUUUAAC